UGAUUGUUUGGCCACAACAUU
rnacentral:piRNA from 1 species